GGAUGUGAGAGAGAUCUGUCACCCCAUUGAUCACCAAGGUUAACUCAGCUGAUCCAGCUGGUGAGGCAGGUGACCCCUUCCUCCCUCACGGAUCCAUGUGCGUCCUUCCCAAAGCCAUAUGCCAGGUCAAAGAGGAUGAACUUCCCCAAUAAAGGAGGACCAAUCUUCAGCCAAGGGUACAUGAGUAGCUGUGCUUCUCUGUUAGAGCCUCCAAACAAGCUCUCAGGCUUCCUGCUUAGUCCCUAGCUUGGGGAGCCUUUAGGAGGUAGAGCCUUGCUG
rnacentral:snRNA from 1 species